CCCUAGGGAUCUCAUGUCUUUGGGACAUUUGUCAGCCAUGGCAUAUUUUUGUUUAUUGGCAAAACUGUCAACAUUUAAUUGGUGUUAGAUUCCGACUUGCACAAGUAACAUGU
ensembl:snoRNA